UCUUAUGGGUGAGCAAAGAAAGUGCUUCCUUGAGAGGGAAUUACUCCUGGUGAAGAUGCUGUGAA
rnacentral:pre_miRNA from 1 species